CGCAGAAACCGGAGCGAAACAGCUGCGGAUCUCCCUCUCCUCCCCAGGCUCCGGGCAACCUAGGCGAGGGGCGCCUAAGAUGGAGAGGAGGUUCGACCGUCUUCCCGGAGCAGAUAGGACCCGCGCGCCAGCCAAUCAGAGCGCGGCUCGGCCGCUCCCCGCCUCAGCCGCAGCCGCAGCCGCAGCCUCCGGGCAAGUGAAGUUCCAGCAACUCGCCCGCCCGAAGAGUCCGAGUCUUUCUUGUGCCCACAGCCCCGCGGAGGCAGAGAGCGCCAUCCAAACUUUAUUAAUCUCUCCCCGUUCUUUCUCCCUCAGUCCAGUGCAUCUCAAAGGAAAAAGAAGGGGGAGAAAUGGUGAAAAGAGCUUUUUUUUUUUUUUAAUCCCCCCCCCCGCCUUUUUUUGUCCUUCAGUGGGAGCGUUUAGACAGUCGAGGAGGUUUUGUCCGGGAACAAAACGCAGGGUUGGGAGGUUUUGUGAGAGUGUUGUUUGUUGAAGUGGAGCUAAGAAAAAGCGGCGGCUUUCUCCUCAUUGUGAAGAAACCAAUCAGUGGUAUUUGGAAAACUGUUAGCAUUGUGCACUUCUUCUGUGUCCAUUGUGAGGCGUUUCUUUUCACAAGGUUUUUUUUUCAGCCGAUCCAGCUGGCCGGAAUGAAUAGCGGUGCAAUGUGUACACGCUUUGUCCCUCCGGCCUUCAAGUAGCCCCCAUUGAAUAGACUAAGUUGACACUGCGUGACAGUGAAACAACAUAAUAAAAAAUACAUGAGCCCCUGAAUAGGAGCAGGCGCAUAAAUAAAUAAAAUGGGUGACCAAAACUGGAUAAACUGAAUGACAAAACGGUGAAAGGGGAACAAAAAGAUAUUUAACACGCUAGAUUAGCAUUAGAAUGCGAUCUACAAGGCAGAACAAUUGAUGAAUAGGUUUACCGGCCAAGAAAGAAAUGGACUAAAUGCCCUUUGAAUAGAUAUGCUUUUUGCAAGGGCUUUGAAUAGAUAUGCUUUUUGCAAGGGCUGAAUGGGAAAAGGUAAAGAUGAAGCUAUGCAAAUGAGCGGGGGAACUUUUUAUAUAUAUUCUUUAAACACACACACACACACUGCGGGAGGAGAGCACUGCCUCCGGGUGUUUAUAGAAGCAAUAAUUGCCAUUAUUAGCAUUGUCUGCAACAGAUAGAAAUUGAACAGGUUGGGAUAAUAUAGGGUAGCAGUAAUUAUUCUUCUAAUUAAUGGUCCUUUGCUACUUGAAAAAAGAAAAAAGGAAAGGAGAAGUAAAAGUUAUGCAGAAGUUAUGUUUCCUUGUGUCCCUUUGCCCAGUGUUGGAAUCCGUGGAGCAGCAAGUCUGGCGAUUCCAAGAUGCAUGCUGAUUUUAGAACAUUCCAGAGAGCCAAUCCUUAGACUCUGGGUUUGGGACCUGGUUUCCAUUUAUGCUGCGUUUUCGAGAGUCUAAUACAGUGUCUGGUACAUGAUAGGUACUGAAUGAAUAGUUGUGGAUUGAAUGAAUAUAAAUUUAAUGUUGGAAUCCUGGCCUCCUGUGGAUGUGGUGGGGGGGAGAAUGACCAUUGACGGCUUUUGCCUUUCACCGCCCCCCCCCCCGCCCCGGGGUGCAGUCCCGGAGGGAAGGUCGCCACCACCUUCCUUCUUGAGGAUUUUGUUUUCAGCCUACGUGGGCCGCUGGAGAAGAUGCGGAAGAUCAAACAAGCUGACGAGCGACUACUGCCCCCCUAUUCCAUCACUCUCACCCCCAAAUCUACCCCAAAGCCAGAGCUUGUGAGGAGCCGGUCCUGGCUGCCUAGUAACAUUGUAUGCACCCCCUCAGAGAAUUAGAAUAUGCUUAAAACUUAGCUCUUUCUCUAGGGUUUCUCCUUUUCCCCCUCCCGCCCUCCCCCCGCCCAAGCCUUUGAUUGAACCCCUCGCCACAGGGAGCCUCCUGGCUGAACUGCCGGCGGAGGCAGGACGCGAACCUGGAGAGAUCUGGAUUGUCCUCAGGUUCCCUGCGCUGCCCUGGAAGCGGGCAUCGGUAACCUUGUCAACGGUUUUCUUUUCGAUGGUUGACCUCCAGGCCUGCCGAGCUGCUGGGCCACCCAGCCAUCGAACUUUCCAGCGGCUUUCAGCUCUGCCCUAACCUAAAUGAAUAAUGCCAAUUCUAGACGGCCCAGCUGACAAAUCCCUGCGAACGCGCAGAGGCUCAGAGGGCUCUCUGAGCAGCAGCUCUCCCGACCUCCCCGACGGCGGGCGGGAAGCCGGGUUUUUAGAAGCAGUGGCAACUGCUUCGGAAUUGUUAUGACUAAG
rnacentral:lncRNA from 1 species